CAGUAGCCGCGGGAAUACGGAGGGUGCAAGCGUUACUCGGAAUCACUGGGCGUAAAGGACGCGUAGGCGGAUUAUCAAGUCUCUUGUGAAAUCUAACGGCUUAACCGUUAAACUGCUUGGGAAACUGAUAAUCUAGAGUAAGGGAGAGGCAGAUGGAAUUCUUGGUGUAGGGGUAAAAUCCGUAGAUAUCAAGAAGAAUACCUAUUGCGAAGGCGAUCUGCUGGAACUUAACUGACGCUAAUGCGUGAAAGCGUGGGGAGUAAACAGGAUUAGAUACCCCGGUAGUCCCUGUCUCUUAUAC
rnacentral:rRNA from 1 species